rnacentral:rRNA from 1 species
AGAGUUUGAUCAUGGCUCAGGAUGAACGCUGGCGGCGUGCCUAACACAUGCAAGUCGAGCGAGAAUGUUUUGAUGGAUUCUUCGGAUGAAAUUAAAACAGGAAAGCGGCGGACGGGUGAGUAACGCGUAGGCAACCUACCCUAUACAGAAGGAUAGCCUCGGGAAACUGGGAAUAAUACUUCAUAAAACUCUAACAUCGCAUGAUGAAUGAGUCAAAAUUCAGGUGGUAUAGGAUGGGCCUGCGUCUGAUUAGCUAGUUGGUAAGGUAAUGGCUUACCAAGGCGGCGAUCAGUAGCCGACCUGAGAGGGUGAUCGGCCACACUGGAACUGAGACACGGUCCAGACUCCUACGGGAGGCAGCAGUGGGGAAUAUUGCACAAUGGGCGAAAGCCUGAUGCAGCAACGCCGCGUGAACGAUGAAGGCCUUCGGGUCGUAAAGUUCUGUUCUAAGGGAAGAAUAAAUGACGGUACCUUAGAAGAAAGCCCCGGCUAACUACGUGCCAGCAGCCGCGGUAAUACGUAGGGGGCAAGCGUUAUCCGGAAUCAUUGGGCGUAAAGGGUGCGUAGGCGGUUAUGUAAGUUAGAGGUGAAAGGCUAUGGCUCAACCAUAGUAAGCCUUUAAAACUGCAUAACUUGAGUGCAGGAGAGGAGAGUGGAAUUCCUAGUGUAGCGGUGAAAUGCGUAGAUAUUAGGAGGAACACCAGUGGCGAAUGCGACUCUCUGGACUGUAACUGACGCUGA